UACGGAGGGUGCAAGCGUUAUCCGGAUUCACUGGGUUUAAAGGGUGCGUAGGCGGUCAGGUAAGUCCGUUGUGAAAUCUCCGAGCUUAACUCGGAAACUGCCAUGGAUACUAUUUGUCUUGAAUACUGUGGAGGUGAGCGGAAUAUGUCAUGUAGCGGUGAAAUGCUUAGAGAUGACAUAGAACACCAAUUGCGAAGGCAGCUCACUGCGCAGUUAUUGACGCUGAGGCACGAAAGCGUGGGGAUCAAACAGG
rnacentral:rRNA from 1 species